rnacentral:lncRNA from 1 species
GUUUGCAAAGCACAUCUGUAUUCAUGAUUUGCUUGCUACUUAGAGCAAACUUACAGGAAGGCUUUAUGAUUUCUAAUUACAAAAGAAAAAAUUAAAUCAUCAAGAUAAUAAUUAGAAUAAAUAAUGUGUCAUGAUGAUGGUUUCAAAAACAGGUGGCUCUUCAGACUCCUGGCUUAAGCUCUUCUCCAAAAAAGGACAAGAAAAAGAAAAGAGGGAACAGUAUUUUGUUUUGUUAUGGUUUAUGCAUGAUUAUUUUCCUCUCAUUGAGCAUUUCUCUUGAUUCUGCCUUUCAAUGUUAUUCAAAAAUCGUUACUCUUAAUUUAUAUGGUUUUAACAAAUUCAAGAAGUUGUGAACAAGGCUCGCUUUGGAAAAACAUUUUCUACUUUUGAUGGCUAUGCUGUUUUUGUAUCAAUUUUGUAUGUAGGACAUGAUGUUUAAGGUAAAACCAAUAAUUAGCUAAGCAAUCUUUAACUAGCAUCAACUGAAUCCUGACCUUCUCAGUCUUCAAAAGAAUCACAGAAAAGUUUCAACGCUGUAUAACGUAUAUGUACUCAAGAAUAAAUGAGAGCAUUUCACUUUAAGCAAUGUCUUAGUCCAUUUGUGCUAAUUAACAAAUUACCUGAAAACUGGACAAUUUAUAGAGAACAGAACUAUACUUUUUACAGUUCUGGAGGCUGGGAAGUUCAAGAUCAAGGUGCUAACAGGUUUGGUAUCUAGUGAGAGUUGUUCUUUAUAUCCAAGAUGGUGCCUUAUUGCUGUGCCCUUACAUGAUGGAAGGGGCAAGUGCUAUGUUUUUACAUGGCAAAGAAGACUAGCAAUUCAUAAGGGAGGAGCUUUCAUGAUCUUA